UCAUGCAUGUGACAUGUUCUCUGCUGUAUCCUGUGAGCAGGCGUCAGCACUGCACCGACCAUUUUAUGGGUAAGCACAGCGGGGUCAAGCGAGCGAGGUGUGGCUUUCAUCAUCUUGUAUCUCGUCCGUCCAGAGAAAGAGCCAGAAAAUGGUACUACUGAGUGACAAACAGAUACAGCCUCGUGGCAGCAAAAUCAGCCUUUUGAAGGGCGAGCGAGUUCCUUCUCAAUGGGGGAGAACGGCGGCCCUGCGCAGACUAUGAAGGUAGACGAUCUAAAAGGUGCCGGCACGCAGGAAGAAGCGGCAGAGCGCGUGUGACAGGGAGGCAGCGAGGAGCAAGAGCGUGGCGGCCGGGUCAACGUCGUAGUAGAAGAAUAGGCGCCUGACGGGGCCAGUGAAGAGCCAGACAGCGUUGAAGGAUGAUAGGAAGCUCCGCGGAAGACAUGAGCGGCGCCGCGCGGAUUGGUUGAAUGCUCGCUGGCUGGCUCGGUUUGGUCAGUUGUCGAUUUGAUAUAGCUUCUGCCCACCUACGGCUGCCAGUAUGCACCUGCUUUGCUCUGCCCACCUACAUUUAGAUUAGUUAGAAUCUCUUAUUUCUAAACUGAGCCAAGAGAAACCACAGUUGGGCUUUCGACUCCUCUGCCUAUUAUAUCUUAAACGAGGUGCAAUCUCUACUGAUUA